GGGUCGGUGGCGUAGCUGGUUAUCGCAUCUGUCUAACAUAAAGAGCGCAAUCAUAUACACAGAAGGUCCUCAGUUCGAACCUGGGCCGACUCA